AUUGAACGCUGGCGGUAUGCUUAACACAUGCAAGUCGAACGGCAGCACGGGGCAACCUGGUGGCGAGUGGCGAACGGGUGAGUAAUACAUCGGAACGUGCCCAAUCGUGGGGGGAUAACGUAGCGAAAGUUACGCUAAUACCGCAUACGAUCUACGGAUGAAAGCGGGGGAUCGCAAGACCUCGCGCGAAUGGAGCGGCCGAUGUCAGAUUAGGUAGUUGGUGGGGUAAAAGGCUCACCAAGCCAACGAUCUGUAGCUGGUCUGAGAGGACGACCAGCCACACUGGAACUGAGACACGGUCCAGACUCCUACGGGAGGCAGCAGUGGGGAAUUUUGGACAAUGGGCGCAAGCCUGAUCCAGCCAUUCCGCGUGCAGGAUGAAGGCC
rnacentral:rRNA from 1 species